rnacentral:rRNA from 1 species
UGGGGAAUAUUGGACAAUGGGGGGAACCCUGAUCCAGCCAUGCCGCGUGUGUGAAGAAGGCCUUAUGGUUGUAAAGCACUUUAAGCGAGGAGGAGGGUACUGGUAUUAAUACUACCAGCUACUGGACGUUACUCGCAGAAUAAGCACCGGCUAACUCUGUGCCAGCAGCCGCGGUAAUACAGAGGGUGCGAGCGUUAAUCGGAUUUACUGGGCGUAAAGCGUGCGUAGGCGGCUAAUUGAGUCGGGUGUGAAAUCCCCGAGCUUAACUUGGGAAUUGCAUUCGAUACUGGUUAGCUAGAGUGUGGGAGAGGAUGGUAGAAUUCCAGGUGUAGCGGUGAAAUGCGUAGAGAUCUGGAGGAAUACCGAUGGCGAAGGCAGCCAUCUGGCCUAACACUGACGCUGAGGUACGAAAGCAUGGGGAGCAAACAGG